CAUUAGAUGACUGAAAGCAAGUAUUGGUCUCUUAAACCACUUUAUAGUAAAUAUAGCAAUUACUUCUAAUGAUUCUAAUGA
rnacentral:tRNA from 1 species